GAAGUAUUUUGGAGCACAACCAACUGUACCUGCCCCCGAUGUGUCAUCAAGUGUCAGUGCCUCCACAGCUGAUGAUACAGCAGGUUCACCCCCAGCAGACUUACAGUCACCUGAAAGUGAGGAAGAACUUUUACCCAUUGAGGAACAGUUACCAGCAUUGACAGUCACUGAUACACCGACUUCAACCUCUGCCGGCAUAACAGGUCCUUCUACAGCAUCCACUGCUAUGGAUGUCCCAUCCACUCCCUCAACAAGCACCAGCUAUCAAGGUGGAUCAACAGCUCCUCCAAUUGACCCAGCUGAAUGGUCAGCAUUCCUGUCUGACUCAGAAAGGACUGAUCUGGUAAGAAGAGGGCCAGUGCAAAUUAGUGACACCUUCACCUUCCCCAAAAAAUCUAAUGGUCGAAGCUUUCAUUACCAUUAUACGUGUAGACAAUUAGUUAAUGGGGUUUAAAAGGUUAAUUGAAUACUGAGUCACUUUCAUUAUUUAAUCUAUGUAUCUAUGUAA